rnacentral:rRNA from 1 species
UGGGGGAUAUUGCACAAUGGGGGAAGCCCUGAUGCAGCGACGCCGCGUGAGCGAUGAAGUAUUUCGGUAUGUAAAGCUCUAUCAGCAGGGAAGAAAAUGACGGUACCUGACUAAGAAGCCCCGGCUAACUACGUGCCAGCAGCCGCGGUAAUACGUAGGGGGCAAGCGUUAUCCGGAUUUACUGGGUGUAAAGGGCGUGUAGGCGGGCUUGCAAGUCAGGAGUGAAAGCCCGGGGCUCAACCCCGGGACUGCUUUGGAAACUGUGGAUCUAGAGUGCCGGAGAGGUAAGCGGAAUUCCUAGUGUAGCGGUGAAAUGCGUAGAUAUUAGGAGGAACACCAGUGGCGAAGGCGGCUUACUGGACGGUAACUGACGUUGAGGCUCGAAAGCGUGGGGAGCAAACAGGAUUAGAUACCC